GUUGAAGCCAAUUCCGGAAUUUUUUUCCGAAAACAUAUUUCCACAACAAGAGGCGGAAAUAUGUUUCCAGUUUUUUUUUUGCCCAUUACGGAACGCUCGCACUCAAUCCCAUCAUCGUCUCUCUCGCCUUCUCACUCUCCUGCACCCCUCGUCGUCUCUCUCGCCCUCUCACUCUCCUGCUGUGUAGGUAGUCCUCAUACCACAGCGACCUUCUGUCUUCAGCAGGCAUACAUCCAAGUGAAUUGCCAUUCGCCCUGAGCAGAAAAAGCCUCCUCCUGUCCUUUUGGAUAUUGGUGAUGGUUCAGAUGCUGCACAGACUAGUUCAAAGGAUGUUGAACAGGGCUAAUAAGUCCACAUCAAGAACCAUUAUAAAUCAACCUCCUCUGCAGUAACUACUGCUUCCUGCACCACCAGGAGCUGCAGCAGCUUAUUUGCAACCGAAGAAGCCAGCUAAGGCUGAAGACAAACUUUUUGGUGAUCUAGUAAGCAUUGCAAAGACAAAAUCUAAACCCUCGAGUACCCCGGCAACUUAGGAUUCUUGUGAUGGAUUUGCGUGAUAGAGCUUUUAUUCCUUGCUCUAAUAAUUUCUUUCAGCUCCCACUUGAAUGUUGAUUUGCUUAUUGAAGUUAUGUACAUUCUUUUUUCACAUAUGUUAUUGUAAUCACAAUCCCCUGUAAAAUAAGAGCUUCAUGCUUCUGCUAUUCAAAUAGGUAUAUUUUUAUGUUUGUUCGGAGCAUUUUGUUGGAUGUAGUUGUCCCUGCAAUUAAAUCAAAGGUGCCAUAUUGAGUUGUUCA